UAGGGAAUAUUGGACAAUGGGUGAGAGCCUGAUCCAGCCAUGCCGCGUGCAGGAAGAAGGCGUUAUGCGUUGUAAACUGCUUUUUGCCAGGGGAUAAAAAGACCGUGCGCGGUUAAUUGAAGGUACCUGGUGAAUAAGCCACGGCUAACUACGUGCCAGCAGCCGCGGUAAUACGUAGGUGGCAAGCGUUGUCCGGAUUUAUUGGGUUUAAAGGGUGCGUAGGUGGCCCUGUAAGUCAGUGGUGAAAUAUCUCAGCUUAACUGAGAGGGUGCCAUUGAUACUGCAGGGCUUGAGUACAGAUGAGGUAGGCGGAAUUGACGGUGUAGCGGUGAAAUGCAUAGAUAUCAAGAGGAACACCUGAGGUGAAGACGGGUUGCUGGGCUGACACUGACGCUGAGGCGCGAAAGCCAGGGGAGCAAACGGGAUUAGAUACCCCUGUAGUCCCUGAGCGGGCUGGCAAGGCGCAU
rnacentral:rRNA from 1 species